UAUAACUUGAAGAGAGACAGAGUGGCUCUUAGAACACAGUGGUUGCUGCCAAGAGAACUUGAGCAUUUGUGCUAAGUCACUCCAUCAUGUUCAGCUCUUUGAGACCACAUGGACUGUAGCCCACUAGGCUCCUCUAUCCAUGGGAUUCUCCAGGCUAGAAUGCUGGAGUGGGUUGCCAUUUCCUCUUCCAGACCCAGGGAUCGAACCCAUGUCUCUUGGGUCUCCUGAGUUGGCAGCGGUUCUUUACUGCUAGCACCCCUGGUUAUUCAGAUGGUAAAGAUUUCAUCUACAAUGCAGGAGGCCUGGAUUCUAUCCCCAGGUCAGGAAGAUCUUCUGGAGGAGGGCAUGGGUACCCACUCCAGUAUUCUUGCCUGGGAAUUCCAUGCACAGAAGAGCCUGGCGGGCUACAGUCCAUGAGGUCGCAAAACAGUCAGGACACGACUGAGCGACUAACACUUUCACUUUCCGUUCAGUGCCUCCUGGGAAGCCCCAGAGUGCCUAGAUACAACGAAUAAACCACUCCCUGGGGGCUGCAGAAGUGAUGUGCAAGCAGAAACAGAGAUAAAGAAACUGAGGUUCAGAUAGAGAAAAGAACCUGCUGAAAAGCAUAAAACUAGUUCGACAAUAAAAUCAGGAUCGCAAACCAGGCCCGUCUGAUUGCAAAGCCUCUAGUCCUUUCCUGCA
ensembl:lncRNA